AGUGUAAUGAAAUGGCAUCAUUUUUAUUACUAAAGUUCCAACGGUACAAGAUGAGCAUGCGUCCCAUUUAGCUAGUUGGUGUGGUAACGGCAUACCAAGGCAACGAUGGGUAGGGGGUCCUGAGAGGGAGAUGCCCCACACUGGUACUGAGACACGGACCAGACUCCUACGGGAGGCAGCAGUGAGGAAUAUUGGUCAAUGGGCGCAAGCCUGAACCAGCCAUGCCGCGUGCAGGAUGACGGUCCUAUGGAUUGUAAACUGCUUUUAUACAGGAAGAAACCCUCCCACGUGUGGGAGCUUGACGGUACUGUAGGAAUAAGGAUCGGCUAACUCCGUG
rnacentral:rRNA from 1 species